rnacentral:lncRNA from 13 species
AGCCUGGUUCAGGAGGAGGUGGGCAUGGACAGGUGCAAGGUAGGACCCAAGGUCCACUGACAGGUGACCACACGGGGUGGGGCCAGAACCCAGUUCCCUGCUCUGUCUAGUGGCCUUGCUUCCUAACAUGCAGCCAAGCUCUGCUGACAAGGAAGUAACUGCCAUAAAAUCACAGGAUCUGCCUGUUUGGAUGCUGCACAUGCCAACAGACCUCUUCAUGCUGAUUAAUUUCACACCGGCUGUAUUCUCCUGAGUGACGUGGGCAUGAAGAAAUUAACACAGCAAGUACAAACAUCAGCAAAUAACCAGUGCAGAAGAGAUCUCACUCUCACACAAGGUCUGGGCAAAGAGCGGGCAUUCUGUUUUCCAACAAAACCAGGAAAACCCUCGUUGGAAGCCGUCGCAGUGGAUAAAACUUUGCACAGUCUUCAGAAGUCUAGGGGCUUGCAAAAGAACGAAAGCAAACGCAGCUAUGGAAAAGCAUCUGGGCAAAGUGCUGCUCUCAGAAAUCAGGGAAGAGGAGUUCCAAGCCACCUUCAGCUCCCAAUGAAUGCUCGUGGCUGUGUGACCUUCCUCGUCCCUCCGAAUGCACGGUUUUGGGAAUGAUGGCAUUGACUCCCCGGGAAGCAGGUCCUCUCACAUCAGACCCACAAAGAGCUGCUUAAGGAAAAGAAAGAGGUUGCAGUUUAGGGGGAGCUUUCUCCAAAAUCUCAAAAUUCGGAAUGUGGAGGAUUGGACACGCUUUUCUCUUCCCAGGGCAUUUGCCCUCGGACUCCAUCUCACUGUCUCACUGCUGCGUUUUUCAGGCGGCAUUUCUUCUUGCACACAGAGUGGAGUUGCGUUUCAUGCUAUGCCAUUGCCUGGAAAUAAGGCCACUUCAGGUAUAAAAUAUUCCACCCAUAUUCCCUGGGGCAAAUAGCUGACAUGCAGCAACUCUUCAGACGUGGAGCCACUAGGCCGGCAGACGUGGAGGUAGUCACAUCUGCAGCAUCCAGCUCCUCAGCCAGAAAUAGCAUUAGCGAGAGUGUGAGAGUUUUAAUUUCAUUAAGAAUUUUUUUGACAGCAUGACACCCCAGAGUCUUGUUCCAGUUGUUUCUUAUCGUUUAAGGAGGGGAGGGGACUAAGGAGGUGGGAAAUAAAUCCCUAGGCUGGACUGGUAAAUUUCA